rnacentral:rRNA from 1 species
UACGGAAGGGGCAAGCGUUGUUCGGAAUCAUUGGGCGUAAAGGGCGCGUAGGUGGUUCUGUAUGUCUACCGUGAAAGCAUACAGCUCAACUGUAUUUUGUCGGUAGAAACUGCAGGACUUGAGGCUGGGAGGGGCUGGUGGAAUUCCCCGUGUAGCGGUGAAAUGCGUAGAGAUGGGGGAGAACACCAACGGCGAAAGCACUCUGCUGGGCCGACACUGACACUGAGAGACGAAAGCUAGGGGAGCGAAUGGG